rnacentral:rRNA from 1 species
GAAACGGUAGCUAAUACCGCAUAACGUCGCAAGACCAAAGAGGGGGACCUUCGGGCCUCUUGCCAUCGGAUGUGCCCAGAUGGGAUUAGCUUGUUGGUGGGGUAACGGCUCACCAAGGCGACGAUCCCUAGCUGGUCUGAGAGGAUGACCAGCCACACUGGAACUGAGACACGGUCCAGACUCCUACGGGAGGCAGCAGUGGGGAAUAUUGCACAAUGGGCGCAAGCCUGAUGCAGCCAUGCCGCGUGUAUGAAGAAGGCCUUCGGGUUGUAAAGUACUUUCAGCGGGGAGGAAGGGAGUAAAGUUAAUACCUUUGCUCAUUGACGUUACCCGCAGAAGAAGCACCGGCUAACUCCGUGCCAGCAGCCGCGGUAAUACGGAGGGUGCAAGCGUUAAUCGGAAUUACUGGGCGUAAAGCGCACGCAGGCGGUUUGUUAAGUCAGAUGUGAAAUCCCCGGGCUCAACCUGGGAACUGCAUCUGAUACUGGCAAGCUUGAGUCUCGUAGAGGGGGGUAGAAUUCCAGGUGUAGCGGUGAAAUGCGUAGAGAUCUGGAGGAAUACCGGUGGCGAAGGCGGCCCCCUGGACGAAGACUGACGCUCAGGUGCGAAAGCGUGGGGAGCAAAUAGGAUUAGAUACCCUGGUAGUCC